rnacentral:rRNA from 1 species
UCAGUAUAACAGCUAUUAUUUAUUUGAUCGUAAACAUAGUUACUUGGAUAACUGUGGUAAUUCCAGAGCUAAUACAUGCAAACAACAUGGAUCCCUGUAGCAAUAUGGGUGAAACAUGUGCUUUUAUUAGAUUAAAACCAUGUCCAUCUCUGAUGGAUUUGUUUUAGAUGAAUCUGGAUAAUUAUGGCUGAUCGUAUGGUCUUGCACCGACGAUAGAUCAUUCAAAUGUCUGCCCUAUCAACUAUUGAUGGUAGUAUAGAGGACUACCAUGGUUGCAACGGGUAACGGGGAAUCAGGGUUCGA